rnacentral:rRNA from 1 species
UACGUAGGUGGCGAGCGUUGUCCGGAUUUACUGGGCGUAAAGGGAGCGUAGGCGGGCUUUUAAGUGAGAUGUGAAAUACUCGGGCUCAACUUGAGUGCUGCACUUCAAACUGGAAGUCUAGAGUGCAGGAGAGGAGAAUGGAAUUCCUAGUGUAGCGGUGAAAUGCGUAGAGAUUAGGAAGAACACCAGUGGCGAAGGCGAUUCUCUGGACUGUAACUGACGCUGAGGCUCGAAAGCGUGGGGAGCAAACAGG